rnacentral:rRNA from 1 species
UAGGGAAUAUUCCACAAUGAGCGAAAGCUUGAUGGAGCGACACAGCGUGCACGAUGAAGGUCUUCGGAUUGUAAAGUGCUGUUAUAAGGGAAGAACAUUUGCAAUAGGAAAUGAUUGCAGACUGACGGUACCUUGUCAUAAAGCGAUGGCUAACUAUGUGCCAGCAGCCGCGGUAAUACAUAGGUCGCAAGCGUUAUCCGGCAUUAUUGGGCGUAAAGCGUUCGUAGGCUGUUUGUUAAGUCUGGAGUUAAAUCCCGGGGCUCAACCCCGGCUCGCUUUGGAUACUAGCAAACUAGAGUUAGAUAGAGGUAAGCGGAAUUCCAUGUGAAGCGGUGAAAUGCGUAGAUAUAUGGAAGAACACCAAAGGCGAAGGCAGCUUACUGGGUCUAUACUGACGCUGAGGGACGAAAGCGUGGGGAGCAAACAGG